ACGCUGGCGGCGUGCCUAAUACAUGCAAGUAGAACGCUGAAGGAGGAGCUUGCUUCUCCGGAUGAGUUGCGAACGGGUGAGUAACGCGUAGGUAACCUGCCUGGUAGCGGGGGAUAACUAUUGGAAACGAUAGCUAAUACCGCAUAAGAGUAGAUGUUGCAUGACAUUUGCUUAAAAGGUGCAAUUGCAUCACUACCAGAUGGACCUGCGUUGUAUUAGCUAGUUGGUGGGGUAACGGCUCACCAAGGCGACGAUACAUAGCCGACCUGAGAGGGUGAUCGGCCACACUGGGACUGAGACACGGCCCAGACUCCUACGGGAGGCAGCAGUAGGGAAUCUUCGGCAAUGGACGGAAGUCUGACCGAGCAACGCCGCGUGAGUGAAGAAGGUUUUCGGAUCGUAAAGCUCUGUUGUAAGAGAAGAACGAGUGUGAGAGUGGAAAGUUCACACUGUGACGGUAUCUUACCAGAAAGGGACGGCUAACUACGUGCCAGCAGCCGCGGUAAUACGUAGGUCCCGAGCGUUGUCCGGAUUUAUUGGGCGUAAAGCGAGCGCAGGCGGUUAGAUAAGUCUGAAGUUAAAGGCUGUGGCUUAACCAUAGUACGCUUUGGAAACUGUUUAACUUGAGUGCAAGAGGGGAGAGUGGAAUUCCAUGUGUAGCGGUGAAAUGCGUAGAUAUAUGGAGGAACACCGGUGGCGAAAGCGGCUCUCUGGCUUGUAACUGACGCUGAGGCUCGAAAGCGUGGGGAGCAAACAGGAUUGGAUACCCUGGUAGUCCACGCCGUAAACGAUGAGUGCUAGGUGUUAGACCCUUUCCGGGGUUUAGUGCCGUAGCUAACGCAUUAAGCACUCCGCCUGGGGAGUACGACCGCAAGGUUGAACUCAAAGGAAUUGACGGGGGCCCGCACAAGCGGUGG
rnacentral:rRNA from 1 species